AUUUUGGGGGAUCUGGGAUGGGUUUGGGGGAGAUUUUGGGACUCCAACAUUCCCAUUUUUUUCCCAGGGGAUCAAGAAUGGGUUCGGGGUGGAUUUGAGGGGAUUUUGGGACCCCAAAAUUCCCGGGUUUUUUUUCCGAGGGGGACUCGAGCUUUGGGGGGAUUUGGGGGGAUUUGGGAUCUCCGAAUUCCCGUUUUUUUCCUUCCCAGGGGAGCUGGAUCCCGAGCGGAUGGGAUCGGGGAUCCAGUACGGGGACGCGUCGCUCCGGCAGCUCCGGCAGGCCCCGGGGAGCUCCGGCCCAGAGCCGGCAGAGCUGCGGCUGCUGAGACCCCCCCCAAAAACCCCCAAAAUCAGGACCAGGUGCCUCUGCCGGACCUCGGGGACCCCCCCC